UGGGGAAUUUUGGACGAAUUGGGGGCAACCGAUCGAUCCAGCAAUGCCGCGUGUGUGAAGAAGGCCUUCGGGUUGUAAAGCACUUUUGUCCGGAAAGAAAUCCUUGGCUCUAAUACAGUCGGGGGAUGACGGUACCGGAAGAAUAAGCACCGGCUAACUACGUGCCAGCAGCCGCGGUAAUACGUAGGGUGCAAGCGUUAAUCGGAAUUACUGGGCGUAAAGCGUGCGCAGGCGGUUUGCUAAGACCGAUGUGAAAUCCCCGGGCUCAACCUGGGAACUGCAUUGGUGACUGGCAGGCUAGAGUAUGGCAGAGGGGGGUAGAAUUCCACGUGUAGCAGUGAAAUGCGUAGAGAUGUGGAGGAAUACCGAUGGCGAAGGCAGCCCCCUGGGCCAAUACUGACGCUCAUGCACGAAAGCGUGGGGAGCAAACAGGAUUAGAUACCCUGGUAGUCCACGCCCUAAANGAUGUCAACUAGUUGUUGGGGAUUCAUUUCCUUAGUAACGUAGCUAACGCGUGAAGUUGACCGCCUGGGGAGUACGGUCGCAAGAUUAAAACUC
rnacentral:rRNA from 1 species